GAAUCUUAGACAAUGGGCGCAAGCCUGAUCUAGCCAUGCCGCGUGAGUGAAGAAGGCCUUAGGGUCGUAAAGCUCUUUCGCCUGUGAAGAUAAUGACUGUAGCAGGUAAAGAAACCCCGGCUAACUCCGUGCCAGCAGCCGCGGUAAUACGGAGGGGGUUAGCGUUGUUCGGAAUUACUGGGCGUAAAGCGCGCGUAGGCGGACAUUUAAGUCAGAGGUGAAAUCCCAGGGCUCAACCCUGGAACUGCCUUUGAUACUGGGUGUCUUGAGUUCGAGAGAGGUGAGUGGAAUUCCGAGUGUAGAGGUGAAAUUCGUAGAUAUUCGGAGGAACACCAGUGGCGAAGGCGGCUCACUGGCUCGAUACUGACGCUGAGGUGCGAAAGUGUGGGGAGCAAACAGG
rnacentral:rRNA from 1 species